ACCCCCAUUUGGGUACACCUGGGUCCACCACCCCCCUAUUAGGGCCCACCAUUCCCCUCUCUGGGGUCUCCAUACCCCCAUUUGGGGCCACCACUCCCCAUUAGGGCCCACCAUAACCCCCUUUAGGGUCCCCAUUCCCCCUUUAGGGUCCCCAUUCCCCCUCUGGGGUCUCCAAUCCCCCCUCUGGGGUCCCCAUUCCCCCUUUGGGGUCCCCCUCUGGGGUCCCCAUUCCCCCUCUGUGGUCCCCAAUUCCCCCUUUACGGUCCCCAUUCCCCCUUUGAGGUCCCCAUUCCCCCAUUAGGGCCCACCAUAACCCCCUUUAGGGUCCCCAAUUCCCCCUUUGGGGUCCCCAUCCCCCCUCUGGGGUCCCCAUUCCCCCUCUGUGGUCCCCAAUUCCCCCUUUGGGGUCCCCAUCCCCCCUCUGGGGUCCCCAUCCCCUUUAGGGUCCCCAUUCCCCAUCUGGGAUCCCCUCCCCCCUUUGGGGUCCCCAUUCCCCCUUUGGGGUCCCCAUUCCUCCAUUAGGGCCCACCAUAACCCCCUUUGGGGUCCCCAUCCCCCCUUUGGGGUCCCCAUCCCCCCUUUGGGGUCCCCAUCCCCCCUUCGGGGUCCCCAUUCCCCCUCUGUGGUCCCCAAUUCCCCCUUUGGGGUCCCCAUCCCCCCUCUGGGGUCCCCAUCCCCCCUUUGAGGUCCCCCUUUAGGGUCCCCAUCCCCCUCUGGGGUCCCCCUCUGGGGUCCCCAUCCCCCCUCUGGGGUCCCCAUUCCCCCAUUAGGG
rnacentral:lncRNA from 7 species